UCCUUUCCCUCUCCCUCCCUCCUCACCCCAGCAAGGAACAGCAGCGCAGGCAGGAUGCUGCGGUACAGCAGCAGGAAGAAGCAGCGGGAAAGUGGGAAGUAAGUCUUUAUAUCAGUAUUGCUGCCAAAGGUAACAGAUCCUCAGCCGAGGCUGUGAAUUACCACGCUUGUAGUUUAGGGCUAAGGCUGUGCACAUGCGCGCACACGCAGGCACAGGAGCAGUUGUGGAGAUCAGCUGAGGCCACGAAGGAAAUUCGUAACAAUUCAGUUGCAGUGCCUGGAACUAGACAAAGUCUACACUGAGGUUUUUUAUGCUGCACGGAGGGAAAAAAGAAAAAACCCACAUGCGGUGUCAGCCCUAAUCCCCGACCGCCUGCGUGUCAGGCAGUCGAAGGACGUACUCUGAACCACAGCGCUGCAGUAGUCUUUACAGGCAGUCCAAAAGACUGAAAUUCUGCCGCAGUGUGCUUCUCGCGAGCCAGUAACACACCAGUUCUGCGUUCUGCGCAGCAGCAGCCAACGCGUUACAUGUCCCGGGCAUCUCAGGCCCGCACGUCUCCUCUCCGUGAGGGCCUGGGCUCAGCAGCCACGCGUACAAAGGAUCUUCUUGCCUGACCACCUACACCGCGUGGGAGUUACGGGUGCGCUCGGUCAAUUAGUCCCUGUAAUACCAAGGGAAGUCAGCAGAAAUCAGCCUGUUCAGCAUCUCUGAAUUUUCUGAAUCCUUUGUGAGGCUUUGUUUGUAAUAUCUUUGUUUUAAGUUAGUAAUUCAGCUGUAUUUCCAUAAAAGUACUUUAAAACAAAACUUCCACGUGUACCCUCAAAUACUUGCAUAAGGAAAUGCACCCCAGUAAUGCUGGUGAGCAAAUCCAGUCCAGGAGGGGGAGCGACGCAGCCGGCUAGCUGCCAUUAACUGACACAGCUACAGCUUGGGAUUGUUCAGGUAACUUCAGCACACUGUGCAUUGGAGGAGAAAGUCAUCGGAGGAAGGAAAUCUGGGAUCUGCUACAUAAUAAGAAAACAAGGAUAGAUUUGUUCUAUCAGUAACUGUAAAUUAUUCAUGCAAUUUAAAAAAUAAACCCCAGCACUACAUGCUGCAGGGAAUAUGGGUAGCAGAGAUGAAAUAAUAAACUGAAAAUCCCUCUUUGCCAAUUUAGAUGAAGGAGGAGUUGGGAGUGCUGCUAAAACAAAGGUUAGGUAGAGCUGAGACGUGGCUGUGUUCCUGCAGAGAGAAGAGCGGCAAGAGGGAAGAGGGCAGCCACGUGCCAGACCGGCGUGCUCUCGGAGGCUUUGCACAACUCCUGCUCGAGGAGUUGAAUCAAAGAGUCUCACAUGAUACCAUGAGUGUGCUGGACAGGAGCUGAGCUCUGCACCCUUCCUAGGCUACGUAAACAGUCAGCAUUUCAGUUGGAUCAAGAGCCAAGCUGAGCUUUGGAUGCAGCGACACAUGGAAAAUACAAUGCCGUAACAAUAAAUCUAAUGUACAAAGCUGGGGCUAAUUAGUUUGAAUCAGUCUCUUAUUUUGCAGAAAGAAAAAGAAAAAUCAGAGAACAGUUUGCUUCUGCUGGGGACGACAUCCCUCAAAAA